AUUGAACGCUGGCGGCAUGCCUUACACAUGCAAGUCGAACGGCAGCACGGGUGCUUGCACCUGGUGGCGAGUGGCGAACGGGUGAGUAAUACAUCGGAACAUGUCCUGUAGUGGGGGAUAGCCCGGCGAAAGCCGGAUUAAUACCGCAUACGAUCUACGGAUGACAGCGGGGGACCUUCGGGCCUCGCGCUAUAGGGUUGGCCGAUGGCUGAUUAGCUAGUUGGUGGGGUAAAGGCCUACCAAGGCGACGAUCAGUAGCUGGUCUGAGAGGACGACCAGCCACACUGGGACUGAGACACGGCCCAGAGUCCUACGGGAGGCAGCAGUGGGGAAUGUUGGACAAUGGGGGAAAGCCUGAUCCAGCAAUGCCGCGUGUGUGAAGAAGGCCUUCGGGUUGUAAAGCACUUUUGUCCGGAAAGAAAUCCUUGGGCCUAAUACGGUCGGGGGAUGACGGUACCGGAAGAAUAAGCACCGGCUAACUACGUG
rnacentral:rRNA from 1 species